AUGGCAGAGCCCAUGCAUAAACCAUUUGGUUUUGCAAUUAAAAACAGGUUUGGCUUCCCUCUGCAUCAGUAAGACAACGUCAAAGCAACAUUCGUCCUGAAAAUUUUCCCUUGUGAAUUCAAAUGAACUGGGGCUAGAGCGAUGACUCAGCGAUGAAGAGUACUUGCUGCUCUUGAAGACCCAACUUCAAAUCCCAGGUUCAUCAUGUAAAACCCAUGUCAUGUGGAAUUCUAAACCCUAUCAAGAUGAGGAGCCUGACACACAAAAAAAGGAUGUAUUGACUCGAGAUCAGGAAGAUAAGAAUUGAAAAAAAUUUCAUUGGCCAUUCAAAGACAGACACACAAGAAGCAGGAGAAAGAAGACAGAGAAAACCAAGGGAUAGGUAAGUAGUAGGUUUUGAAUGAUAAACCAGAAAGUUUCAUUACUCUAUCAAAAUCAUAAGUGAUCCCAUUAUUGUGACCAAUUAGUUACUAUUCUAGAAUAGUCACAUCAAAUCCUCACCCCGCUUAAAUGGGAUCCAGAUCCAGAAUAUUCUAGGCAAUCUCGGCGCUCUAAAAGGAAAACCACUGAUACCAGCACCCAUCACAACCCAGCAUCUCUUCAUACUACACUCUGUCAUCAUUGACUGGAAUUGGCCUCUGGCAUGCUAAUCAAGCACAGGUAGAUUUUGCUGUGUUUCUAUUUACCAUUGUCUGUUUCCCCCACUCCACAUGUAUACUCAUCAUAUACUGAAGUACAAAUCCUUGUCAGUGGAGCUGACAGAAUCUGGAUGCAGAACAAGUUUCUUAAUGUCACUUCAUAGAAGCAGAUGCUCAUCCCACUCACUCCUAAAACACCCAUUGGCUUCAAUAUCAUCUUUCCGCCCAUGGCAAGCCUUGCGAGCCUUCAUGUCUUGCCUCAGUUCUCAAGUCCACAGGGUUUUCCCACACCCACUCAAGCAGUUUCACCAACCAAGGGAGCCCAAGACCAAUGACAGUAAAGACAGAACCAGCUGUACUUGAGAGGAUGGGUGUGUGGACUAGCUGUCAGUGCUUGUUGACCUAAGGCAAGAGAUGCCAAGAAAACCAGUCCAGUUCUGAUAAGGGAAGAGGCAAUGUAGAUCAAGAAGAGACUCACCUUCUCUAGCUGAACUAAUCCAUGAUGGAGCUACAAGAUGUUAACAAGAGUGAUUAGUACCUAUCACAUAAAAAGUUAGCAUGAUAAGGAUGGUGAUAGCACUAGCCACAUGCCAGGCAUUAUUCUUAAUAGAUUAGCAUCUUUACUACAGUCCUUGGAGAUUGGUACCAUUAUCACCAUUGUUCAGAUGUGGAAACUGAGGUACAUAAAGGUUAAAUAGCCUUUCCCAAGUGGAUAUAAAAGUGAGGAAGAUAAAAUGC